AGUUGUGUUUGUAUAUGGUUAUACACUUUGAUUGCAAAUCUUAAGUAAGGGGUUCGAUUCCUCCAUAACUC
rnacentral:tRNA from 2 species